rnacentral:rRNA from 1 species
CCCUUAGAGGUUCUGGGCAGCACGCGCGCUACAAUGGUCUUCGCAAACGGAUGCAUUCUCGAAGGAGAAUGCCAAUCUUGGAAUCUAUGCCUUGGUCGGGACAGUUGCUUGCAAUUUUUCGACUCGAACCAGGAAUUCCUUGUAAUCGUGAUUCAUCACAUCACGAUGAAUACGUCCCUGCCCUUUGUACACACCGCCCGUCGCUCCUACCGAUCGAAGAGUUAGGUGAAUUGUUUUGAUCGAUAAGAUUUGACUAUGGUCAACUCUCGUUGUGAAAUUCUGUGAAUCUGACUGUUUAGAGGAAGGAAAAGUCGUAACA